AUAGAAAUGAGCUUGGUAACUAGCAUUCUUGUAGGUGGAUUUGCCAAAAUGGAAAAUGUAGACACUUUUGGGUUGCCAUUUCAAUUGUCUUCUUUGUUGCUGCUACAUUAUUUACUCUACUGAAACUUUGUGAUUUAAUCUUCCCCAGGUUGUAAAGUAUAUUUUGGUCUUAGA